GACAGCCAAAAAGUUCAAAACUUGCUGACCAUUCAUCUGCCGUUCACAACAGUCGAAUGGAUUACUGAGAACAGUGUUGUCACGGCUGUAAGUUUCACGAAAUUUUGCAGAUAAAGCAGCGUCGCCGCACAGAAAAAGAGGCGGAGCGUAAUUUCGCAACCCUGCGGCGCGCGGUUUUUUGUUGAUUUUUUUCCACACAAAAAUUCAAUUUUACUUGUUUUUUUAAUCUUUUUUCGAAUAUAAAUAAACUUGUGAAGAUGUUUUGGUUGUAAAAACAUUUAAAAAAAAGGUUGCACACCCCGCCCAUUUUUCUAUGCGGCACUGAUUUUUUUUUAAGUUUACAAAUCGAUUUAUCUGCUUUUCUAUAGGGUCACGACUGCUCGCCGGUGCUCUUUGUAGUGUCUCAAGAUGUUUUGAAAGAAGUUUGCAAAUUGGAUGUCCCAUCAGCGGCCAAGUCAUCGACGGUUAACAGUGCUCUUCAGCUGUUCAAAAAUAUCGAUCGGUGAAUAAAUAUCAUCAAAAAUAAAGUAUUUUAAUUCCUCCAAUUUUUAUAGAAAUAAUGCUGCGGAAAAGAUUAACGUCGCCUUGAAGACACUCCAUCAAAAUCGAAUUACGUGAGUUUUGUGAAAAACGCCAAUUUUUUGCAGUUUUGCGUUAAAUAUUCCCAGAUUUUUUAAUGAAAAAUGCAUAAAAUAACCCCGAAAUCGUAGGAUUUUUGGAAUCUCAAAAAAUUCGGACAAAAAAUUCAUCAAAAAUAAAACUGUUCAAAAUCGGAAAAAAUUUCGCAGAAACGAAGCCGAUUUACCGAUUUGCCGGAAAUUUUCAAUUCCGGCAAUUUGUAGAUUAGUCGGAAAUUUUCAAUUCCGGCAAUUUUCUGAUUUGCCGGAAAUUUUCAAUUCUGACAAUUUUUCGGUAUGCCGAUUUGUCGGAAAUGUUUAAUUCUGGCAAAUUGCCGAUUUGCCGGAAAUUUUCAAUUCCGGCAAUUUACCGAUUUGCCGGAAAUUCUCAAUUCCGGCAAUUUGUAGAUUAGUCGGAAAUUUUGAAUUACUGCAAUUUACCGAUUUGCCGGAAAUUUUCAAUUCCGGCAAUUUGUAGAUUAGUCGGAAAUUUUCAAUUCCGGCAAUUUCCUGAUUUGCCGGAAAUUUUCAAUUCUGACAAUUCACCGAUUUGCCGGAUAUGUUCAAUUCUGGCAAAUUGCCGAUUUUUCGGAAAUUUUAAAUUCCGGCAAAUUUCCGAUUUGCCGAUUUGCCGGAAAUUUUCAAUUAAAAUUUGUAACUACAGUACUAACAACAUUUCGUCGUUUCGAGACCGGUUACCGUAUUUCAGAGAAAAUCGAAAAAAUUUAAUUAACGAAAUUUCCUUUCCAAAUCAAAUUAAAAAAAUUUUUUUGAAAAAAAAAAAUUUUGUUCGGUUUUUGUACACGAGCUCGUAAAUCUACCGAACAAAAAAAAAACAGAAAUUCCAAAAAAAAAAAUAAUUUUUUCAGUCAAAUCCUACCUCACUCUGGAACCGUCGGAAAUGUUGUGAAAUUCACAACAUGUGGAACUGACGGAAUUGUUGCACUUUGGGAUUUGAAGG
rnacentral:sRNA from 1 species